rnacentral:lncRNA from 1 species
CUGUGUGUUUUAUUUUUAUACAGUGUAUAUCAAGGUCCCGUUUUUUUUAUUAGUACAUCAAGGUCCCGUUGAGCACAACUCAACUUUGCCAAUGAAACUUUUUUUUGAAAAAUACUUCCACAAAUUGUUUUCUCGGUGAAGCUAAGUUGUUUCAGAAAAACUCUUGGCAAUAGACAAAAAAGAAUAAAAGACCCUAAUACCAUUAUAUUUUUUUGUUUUUUCUACUCUAUCUACGAGUUUUAUUUUUAUACGGUGUAUAUCAAGGUCCCAUUUAACACAACUCAACUUUACCUAAGUUGCUUCAGAAAAACUCUUGGCAAAAC